rnacentral:rRNA from 1 species
AUUGAACGCUGGCGGCAGGCCUAACACAUGCAAGUCGAGCGGAUGACGGGAGCUUGCUCCUUGAUUCAGCGGCAGGCGGGUGAGUAAUGCCUAGGAAUCUGCCUGGUAGUGGGGGACAACGUUUCGAAAGGAACGCUAAUACCGCAUACGUCCUACGGGAGAAAGCAGGGGACCUUCGGGCCUUGCGCUAUCAGAUGAGCCUAGGUCGGAUUAGCUAGUAGGUGAGGUAAUGGCUCACCUAGGCGACGAUCCGUAACUGGUCUGAGAGGAUGAUCAGGCACACUGGAACUGAGACACGGUCCAGACUCCUACGGGAGGCAGCAGUGGGGAAUAUUGGACAAUGGGCGAAAGCCUGAUCCAGCCAUGCCGCGUGUGUGAAGAAGGUCUUCGGAUUGUAAAGCACUUUAAGUUGGGAGGAAGGGUUGUACGUUAAUACCGUGCAAUUUUGACGUUACCGACAGAAUAAGCACCGGCUAACUCUGUGCCAGCCGCCGCAGUAA